GGGAAGGGCUGUCGGGAGGAUCGUUGGGCCGGGACUGACAGGGUGACAGUGCCAGGAUUGAGGUGAAGGCUCAAAGAGAGGGACUGAAUUCCUCAGAAUGACGUCACAAUAAUCAUGUUUUACAAUCUGUGUGCGGGAGACGGUGGAAAGUGCAAAGUGAUGAGGAGGUCAUGGAUGAGGGGUUGUGGACAGAUCAGCAGGAAGACUUGGAUGUGAAAACUCCUACACUGGCCAGGGCAGCAGAAAACAAAACGAAAUCUGCUGUCUGGCAACUGCAAAUUGGUGGGACUACUUAAAUUAAAGGGCGUUGAAAACAACACCAUUUUGUUGUCUCUCUGCCCUUGGGAAAAUGAAAUUUUUAACUCCACUGUGGAAUUUUCAUUGUUUCACAUCAAGAUCUUGCAAAACCCGUGCUCUGAAGGGAUUUAGUGCCCUGCUUUUCAGCAGACCUUUUCCAAAAGCAUCCUGGCACCUGCUGGAAGGAAAAUAAAG